GAUGAACGCUGACAGAAUGCUUAACACAUGCAAGUCUUUGGCGAAUCUGUGCUUGCACAGGCUAGCCAAGGCGGACGGGUGAGUAACGCGUAAAGAACUUGCCCUGCAGACAGGGAUAACAGACGGAAACGACUGAUAAAACCUGAUACAAUUGCCGGCACACAUGUGCCUGGCAAUGAAAAGAGAUGCUGCAGGAGAGCUUUGCGUCCUAUUAGCUUGUUGGUGGGGUAACGGCUCACCAAGGCGAUGAUAGGUAGCCGGCCUGAGAGGGUGAACGGCCACAAGGGGACUGAGAUACGGCCCUUACUCCUACGGGAGGCAGCAGUGGGGAAUAUUGGACAAUGGGGGCAACCCUGAUCCAGCAAUUCUGUGUGCACGAAGAAGGUUUUCGGAUUGUAAAGUGCUUUCAGCAGGGAAGAAGAAAGGAC
rnacentral:rRNA from 1 species